rnacentral:rRNA from 1 species
CUCAAAGGAAUUGACGGGGGCCCGCACAAGCGGUGGAGCAUGUGGUUUAAUUCGAAGCAACGCGAAGAACCUUACCAGGUCUUGACAUCCUCUGACAACCCUAGAGAUAGGGCUUUCCCUUCGGGGACAGAGUGACAGGUGGUGCAUGGUUGUCGUCAGCUCGUGUCGUGAGAUGUUGGGUUAAGUCCCGCAACGAGCGCAACCCUUGAUCUUAGUUGCCAGCAUUCAGUUGGGCACUCUAAGGUGACUGCCGGUGACAAACCGGAGGAAGGUGGGGAUGACGUCAAAUCAUCAUGCCCCUUAUGACCUGGGCUACACACGUGCUACAAUGGACAGAACAAAGGGCUGCAAGACCGCAAGGUUUAGCCAAUCCCAUAAAUCUGGUGCUACAGUUCGGAUCGCAAUACUGCAACUCGACUGCGUGAAGCUGGAAUCGGGAGUACUCCGCGNAAANAGCAUGGCCGCUGNGUNCAA